rnacentral:rRNA from 1 species
GCUAGCUACAGGCUUAACACAUGCAAGUCGAGGGGCAGCAUGGUCUUAGCUUGCUAAGGCCGAUGGCGACCGGCGCACGGGUGAGUAACACGUAUCCAACCUGCCGUCUACUCUUGGACAGCCUUCUGAAAGGAAGAUUAAUACAAGAUGGCAUCAUGAGUCCACAUGUUCACAUGAUUAAAGGUAUUCCGGUAGACGAUGGGGAUGCGUUCCAUUAGAUAGUAGGCGGGGUAACGGCCCACCUAGUCUUCGAUGGAUAGGGGUUCUGAGAGGAAGGUCCCCCACAUUGGAACUGAGACACGGUCCAAACUCCUACGGGAGGCAGCAGUGAGGAAUAUUGGUCAAUGGGCGAGAGCCUGAACCAGCCAAGUAGCGUGAAGGAUGACUGCCCUAUGGGUUGUAAACUUCUUUUAUAAAGGAAUAAAGUCGGGUAUGCAUACCCGUUUGCAUGUACUUUAUGAAUAAGGAUCGGCUAACUCCGUGCCAGCAGCCGCGGUAAUACGGAGGAUCCGAGCGUUAUCCGGAUUUAUUGGGUUUAAAGGGAGCGUAGAUGGAUGUUUAAGUCAGUUGUGAAAGUUUGCGGCUCAACCGUAAAAUUGCAGUUGAUACUGGAUAUCUUGAGUGCAGUUGAGGCAGGCGGAAUUCGUGGUGUAGCGGUGAAAUGCUUAGAUAUCACGAAGAACUCCGAUUGCGAAGGCAGCCUGCUAAGCUGCAACUGACAUUGAGGCUCGAAAGUGUGGGUAUCAAACAGGAUUAGAUACCCUGGUAGUCCACACGGUAAACGAUGAAUACUCGCUGUUUGCGAUAUACUGCAAGCGGCCAAGCGAAAGCGUUAAGUAUUCCACCUGGGGAGUACGCCGGCAACGGUGAAACUCAAAGGAAUUGACGGGGGCCCGCACAAGCGGAGGAACAUGUGGUUUAAUUCGAUGAUACGCGAGGAACCUUACCCGGGCUUAAAUUGCAGAUGAAUUACGGUGAAAGCCGUAAGCCGCAAGGCAUCUGUGAAGGUGCUGCAUGGUUGUCGUCAGCUCGUGCCGUGAGGUGUCGGCUUAAGUGCCAUAACGAGCGCAACCCUUGUUGUCAGUUACUAACAGGUUCUGCUGAGGACUCUGACAAGACUGCCAUCGUAAGAUGUGAGGAAGGUGGGGAUGACGUCAAAUCAGCACGGCCCUUACGUCCGGGGCUACACACGUGUUACAAUGGGGGGUACAGAGGGCCGCUACCACGCGAGUGGAUGCCAAUCCCAAAAACCUCUCUCAGUUCGGACUGGAGUCUGCAACCCGACUCCACGAAGCUGGAUUCGCUAGUAAUCGCGCAUCAGCCACGGCGCGGUGAAUACGUUCCCGGGCCUUGUACACACCGCCCGUCAAGCCAUGGGAGCCGGGGGUACCUGAAGUGCGUAACCGCGAGGAGCGCCCUAGGGUAAAACUGGUGACUGGGGC